rnacentral:SRP_RNA from 2 species
GCUAGGCAUGUUGGUAUGUGCCUGUAGUCCCAGCUACUUGGGAGGCUGAUGUAGGAGGAUCACUUGAACCCAGGAGGUUAAGGCUGCAGUGAGCUGUGAUCACACCAUGCCACUGCACUCCAGCCUGGGUGACAGAGUGAGACCCUGUCUCAA